rnacentral:rRNA from 1 species
ACGAACGCUGGCGGCGUGCUUCACACAUGCAAGCCGAACGGAAAGGCCCUGCUUUUGUGGGGUGCUCGAGUGGCGAACGGGUGAGUAACACGUGAGUAACCUGCCCUUGACUUUGGGAUAACUUCAGGAAACUGGGGCUAAUACCGGAUAGGAGCUCCUGCUGCAUGGUGGGGGUUGGAAAGUUUCGGCGGUUGGGGAUGGACUCGCGGCUUAUCAGCUUGUUGGUGGGGUAGUGGCUUACCAAGGCUUUGACGGGUAGCCGGCCUGAGAGGGUGACCGGCCACAUUGGGACUGAGAUACGGCCCAGACUCCUACGGGAGGCAGCAGUGGGGAAUAUUGCACAAUGGGCGGAAGCCUGAUGCAGCAACGCCGCGUGCGGGAUGACGGCCUUCGGGUUGUAAACCGCUUUCGCCUGUGACGAAGCGUGAGUGACGGUAAUGGGUAAAGAAGCACCGGCUAACUACGUG